CGCUAAGGGCAUACUACCCUGAAUGUGCCCGAUCUCCUCCGAUCUUGUGGGCUAAUCAGGGUCGGGCCUGGUUAGUGC
ensembl:rRNA 5S_rRNA 5S ribosomal RNA